rnacentral:rRNA from 1 species
GACGUAGGGCGCGAGCGUUGUCCGGAUUUAUUGGGCGUAAAGAGCUCGUAGGCGGCUUGUCGCGUCGUCCGUGAAAACCUGCAGCUCAACUGCAGGCUUGCGGUCGAUACGGGCAGGCUAGAGUUCGGUAGGGGAGACUGGAAUUCCUGGUGUAGCGGUGAAAUGCGUAGAUAUCGUAAGGAAGACCAGUGGCGAAGGCGGGUCUCUGGACAGUUCCUGACGCUGAGGCACGAAGGUCAAGGGGAGCAAACCGGGG